rnacentral:rRNA from 1 species
CCUACGGGAGGCAGCAGUGGGGAAUAUUGGGCAAUGGAGGCAACUCUGACCCAGCAACGCCGCGUGAGUGAUGAAGGUCUUCGGAUUGUAAAACUCUUUAAGUGGGGACGAAGAAAGUGACUGUACCCACAGAAUAAGCCUCGGCUAACUACGUGCCAGCAGCCACGGUAACACGUAGGAGGCAAGCGUUAUCCGGAAUGACUGGGCGCAAAGGGUGCGUAGGUGGUUUGGCAAGUUAGUAGCGUAAUUCCGGGGCUCAACUUCGGAACUACUACUAAAACUGCUGGGCUUGAGUGCAGGAGGGG